UACGUAGGGAGCAAGCGUUGUCCGGAAUCAUUGGGCGUAAAGCGCGCGUAGGUGGCCCCGUAAGUCCGCUGUGAAAGUCAAAGGCUCAACCUUUGAAAGCCGGUGGAUACUGUGGGGCUAGAGUACGGAAGAGGCGAGUGGAAUUCCUGGUGUAGCGGUGGAAUGCGCAGAUAUCAGGAGGAACACCAAUAGCGAAGGCAGCUCGCUGGGACGUUACUGACACUGAGGCGCGAAAGCGUGGGGAGCAAACAGG
rnacentral:rRNA from 1 species